UACCGGCAGUCCAAGUUGCAGCCAACAUUAUUGGGUCUAAAACAUCCGUAGCUUGCUUUAAAAGUUUCUUGUGAAAUUCUGUGUCUCAAGCACAGAGCGAGCAGGAAAUACUUUAAAGCUAGAGACCGGAAGGCGUAAGAAGUACGAUCAGGGUAGUGGUAAAAUACGUUAAUCCUGAUUGGACUAACAAUCGCGAAGGCAUCUUACGAGGACGGUUCUGACAGUAAGGGAUGAAGGCUAGGGUCGCGAAAAGGAUUAGAUACCCGCGUA
rnacentral:rRNA from 1 species